rnacentral:rRNA from 1 species
GACAGAGGGUGCAAACGUUGCUCGGAAUUACUGGGCGUAAAGGGCGUGUAGGCGGGCAGGUAAGUCGGGCGUGAAAUCCCUGGGCUCAACCCAGGAACUGCACUCGAAACUACUUGCCUUGAGUGCCGGAGAGGAAAGCGGAAUUCCUGGUGUAGAGGUGAAAUUCGUAGAUAUCAGGAGGAACACCAGUGGGCGAAGGCGGCUUUCUGGACGGUAAC